GGAGUCUGGUCCGUGUCUCAGUACCAGUGUGGGGGACCUUCCUCUCAGAACCCCUACCGAUCGAAGGCUUGGUGGGCCGUUACCCCGCCAACAACCUAAUCGGACGCAUCCCCAUCCCUUAGCGAUAAAUCUUUGGUUCACUUCAGAUGUCCUCGACGAACAACAUAGGGUAUUAAUCCGACUUUCGUCCGGGC
rnacentral:rRNA from 1 species